AGUAGGAGCAAGUGAGAAACCUUUUUCACUUAUCGGAUAGAUCUGUCUCAGAGCGACUGAGCGAUAGAGAGGGAAUGGAGAGAUACGCAGAGCUGAAGGAAGCAGUAGAGAAGUUAGAACUCGUGGACGCCCAUGCUCACAAUAUCGUUGACCUCGAUUCCACCUUCCCUUUCCUUAGAUGUUUUUCUGAAGCUGAAGGAGAGGCUUUAUCCUACGUCCCUCAUUCUCUCUCCUUCAAGAGAAGUUUGAGGGAUAUUGCUAAACUCUAUGGAUGUGAGACAUCACUGCAUGCUAUUGAAACACAUCGUAGAUCCUCUGGAUUACAGUCAAUUAGCAUAAAGUGCUUUGAAGCUGCGAAGAUAGGUGCCAUUCUUAUUGAUGAUGGAAUUGAGUUUGAUAAGAUGCAUGAUGUUGAGUGGCAUAGGAAUUAUUCACCAGUUGUUUGCAGGGUAUUAAGGAUUGAGCACCUGGCUGAGAAGAUUCUUGAUAAAGAAUUACCAAAUGGAUCAGAAUGGACAUUGGACAUGUUUACGGAAACCUUUAUGACAAAGUUGAAGUCUGUUGCUGAUAGAGUUGUUGCCUUGAAGAGCAUAGCUGCAUAUCGAAGUGGUCUAGAAAUUGAUACACAUGUUAAUAAGAAGGAUGCGGAGGAAGGACUUAUUGAAACCUUAAGUGCUGGGAAGCCCAUCCGCAUCCAGAAUAAGCACCUUAUUGAUUAUAUUUUUACAUGUAGUUUGGAGGUUGCUUUGAAGUUCAACUUGCCAAUGCAGAUACACACAGGUUUUGGAGACAAGGAUUUGGAUCUGAGACUGUCUAAUCCUCUUCAUCUGCGGACUGUUCUGGAGGACAAGAGAUUUGCAAGAAGUUGUAUUGUGCUUCUCCAUGCAUCCUAUCCAUUUUCAAAAGAAGCUUCAUAUCUGGCCUCGGUUUACCCCCAGGUCUAUGUUGACUUUGGACUGGCUGUACCAAAGCUUAGUGUCCAUGGGAUGAUAUCUUCAGUCAAAGGGCUUCUAGAGUUAGCUCCAAUAAAGAAGGUCAUGUUCAGCACUGAUGGUUAUGCAUUUCCUGAAACCUUUUAUUUAGGUGCUAAAAUAGCACGAGAAGUUGUAUUUUCUGUUCUAUGUGAUGCAUGUGAUGAUGGUGACUUCACAAUUCCUGAAGCUGUGGAAGCAGCUGAAGACAUCUUUAAGAAAAAUGCAAUUCGGCUUUACAAAAUUGAUGGGAUUAUUGAUCUUUUUGAUUCGAAGAAUGCUGUAUCCAAUGACUUAGUAAUGACAUUUCAAAAGGACAUUGUGUUUAUACGGAUUAUCUGGGUUGAUACCUCUGGACAGCAUCGAUGUCGUGUAGUUCCUAUAAAGCGUUUCUAUGAUGUUGUGAAGAAAAAUGGUGUAGGCUUAACUUCUGCAUCCAUGGCUAUGAGCUCAACUUCUGAUGGCCCAUCUAAUGGAACUAAUCUGACUGCAGUGGGUGAGAUCAGGUUGAUGCCUGAUUUGUCAAGAAAGUGGAUGCUCCCAUGGGCACAAAAAGAGGAAAUGGUUUUGGCAGACAUGCAUGUUAAACCUGGCCAAGCAUGGGAAUAUUGUCCAAGAGAGGCACUGCGAAGGAUUACAAAAAUCUUGAAAGAUGAAUUUAAUUUGGAAAUGAAUGCUGGUUUUGAAAAUGAAUUUUAUCUCCUAAGGAAUGUUUUAAGAGGUGGGAGGGAGGAAUGGGUACCAUUUGACUCAACACCCUAUUGCUCCACAUCGGCAUUUGAUUCUGCAUCCCCUUUGUUUCAAGAAGUUUACUUUGCUCUCCAGUCCUUGGAUAUCCCAGUGGAACAGCUUCAUGCAGAAUCUGGAAAGGGUCAGUUUGAAAUAGCUUUGGGGCAUAGAGUUUGUACUGAUGCUGCUGACAACCUAAUUUUUGCACGUGAAGCUAUUAGGGCCGUUGCAAGAAAACAUGGGUUACUGGCAACUUUUGUGCCCAAGUACUCAUUAGAUGAUAUUGGCUCCGGAUCUCAUGUGCACAUAAGUCUUUGGGAAAAUGGAAAAAAUGUUUUUAUGGGAUCCAAACAAUCAUCACUACACGGAAUGUCUGUGGUUGGAGAGGAGUUUAUGGCAGGAGUUUUAAGCCACCUUCCUUCAAUUUUAGCAUUUACUGCGCCACUCCCAAAUAGCUACGAUCGAAUUCAACCAGAUACUUGGAGUGGAGCAUAUCUUUGCUGGGGAAAAGAAAAUAGGGAAGCUCCACUGAGGACUGCAUGCCCACCCGGAGUAUCAGAUGGACUUGUAAGCAAUUUUGAGAUUAAAUCCUUUGAUGGGUGUGCAAAUCCACACUUGGGCUUGGCUUCUAUAGUUGCUGCUGGGAUUGAUGGCCUCCGUAGACAUCUUCGCUUACCUGAACCUGUUGAAACAAAUCCUUCUAGUCUUUCUGAAAGUAUUGAAAGACUGCCAAAAGAACUUUCUGAAUCUGUAGAAGCUCUUGAGAAAGAUGAGGUUAUGAAGAAUUUAAUUGGUGAAAAUCUUCUGAAAGCUGUAAUUGGUGUCCGUAAGGCAGAGAUUGACUACUAUUCCAAGAAUAAGGAUGCUUUCAAGCAACUUAUACAUCAAUACUAGUGAGCUAAGAUUAUUCAAAUGGGUUGGAACCAGUUCAUUUCUGCAAAUUGGUGGACACAAGUUUUUGAAGUACCUCUCCAUGUUUGGUGCAAAGCAACUUGAUUGCAACAAAUAAUGCCUUGGCAGAGUUCAUUGUGAUGCAUGGUCAAAUAUUGAACUGAAGCCAUCUUGACUAGGUUCAUUCUCUUGUUCAUGGGGGAUGAACAACUUUCUGAAGCUAUUCCAUAUGGGGAAGAUGAAGAUGGAGAUAAAUUUUCAAAUGGUUCGUUGUGAAACUCCAUCGAUGAGGUUUACACUGCAAACAAACACGGCCUUAGGUACUUUCUCUCUGUCACAUACAUGGAGUGCACUAGUAUUGGGUGAAUAUAAUCAUCUUUUAUCCAUGUUAAACACUGAUUAUUGAUUAUUAUUGCCUUGAUCUGCUGGUGUUCCAUCAGCAUGUUAGUAGUAGUAGUAGGAGUACGUGAGACAUAUAAAAGCAAUCCGUUGGUCGAUAAAUAUAAAACUCCGUCUCUGAUUCUCUGAUUAGCAUCAAUAGAAAUCAUUUUUGUUGAGCAGAUAGAGGUAAUACAGAAGACAAGGAAACAGGAGACAUCACUGCAUAUUGCUCUAAAAUUUGCAAACUUUCAUCCUUAAAUAAAUGAUGAACAGUUACCUCAUAAGGCCUGAUAUAUUGGCUUGACAGUUGAAGCCUUUCUGUGUGAAAAAACAAUUAGAGGCAAUCUUGAUUCAUAAGUAGCAAUGUUGUAAGGCUCAGACCAAUAAAUAGUUAAAUACAAAUGAUGUUGUGGUUUAGUGGUAA